ACUGAUGAUGGCUGCCGAUGGGCUGUGUGGAGAAAGAUUCUGAGGCGGUAUCUGAGAUCUGCAGGAAAAAGCACUGCGCUCAGUUCAGGAUGCUGACCAGAUUUCAUGUUGUUUCUAAACCCAGAGUGACUCUGCCCACCCAGGGGACGUUCGGCAGUGCCUAGAAACAUUUAGACCGUCAUUGUGAAUGUCACCCACUGGCGUGGGUGCUACUGGCAUCUGGGUGGUAGAGGUUAUGGUGGCUUCUGAACAUCCUACAGGACGCAGACGGCCCUCCACAACAAAACAGAUCAAAAUGUCUACAGUGCCCAGGUCUUCACCAGGAAGCUCCAUGUUAACAUUCAGCUCUCCAGAAAAAGUCACCUCCCCAGAGAAGACGCCCACCCCCAGCCACCCAAACUAAAGUCACCUUCCAUGCCCUCACUAGUUUUCUCUUUCUUAUAAUUCUCACUCCUUGAAAUCAGCUCAUUUUUGUAUUGCCUCACCACUCCCUCGCCCAAAAAUUAAAAGUUCAUAAGAGAGUUGUCUUUUUCAUCACUUCAUCACUCCAUCA